rnacentral:rRNA from 1 species
CCUCUAAGCAUCAGGUAACAUCAAAUCGUACCCCAAACCGACACAGGUGGUCAGGUAGAGAAUACCAAGGCGCUUGAGAGAACUCGGGUGAAGGAACUAGGCAAAAUGGUGCCGUAACUUCGGGAGAAGGCACGCUGACACGUAGGUGAAGUGAUUUACUCAUGGAGCUGAAGUCAGUCGAAGAUACCAGCUGGCUGCAACUGUUUAUUAAAAACACAGCACUGUGCAAACACGAAAGUGGACGUAUACGGUGUGACGCCUGCCCGGUGCCGGAAGGUUAAUUGAUGGGGUCAGCGCAAGCGAAGCUCCUGAUCGAAGCCCCGGUAAACGGCGGCCGUAACUAUAACGGUCCUAAGGUAGCGAAAUUCCUUGUCGGGUAAGUUCCGACCUGCACGAAUGGCGUAAUGAUGGCCAGGCUGUCUCCACCCGAGACUCAGUGAAAUUGAACUCGCUGUGAAGAUGCAGUGUACCCGCGGCAAGACGGAAAGACCCCGUGAACCUUUACUAUAGCUUGACACUGAACAUUGAGCCUUGAUGUGUAGGAUAGGUGGGAGGCUUUGAAGUGUGGACGCCAGUCUGCAUGGAGCCGACCUUGAAAUACCACCCUUUAAUGUUUGAUGUUCUAACGUGGACCCGUGAUCCGGGUUGCGGACAGUGUCUGGUGGGUAGUUUGACUGGGGCGGUCUCCUCCUAAAGAGUAACGGAGGAGCACGAAGGUUGGCUAAUCCUGGUCGGACAUCAGGAGGUUAGUGCAAUGGCAUAAGCCAGCUUGACUGCGAGCGUGACGGCGCGAGCAGGUGCGAAAGCAGGUCAUAGUGAUCCGGUGGUUCUGAAUGGAAGGGCCAUCGCUCAACGGAUAAAAGGUACUCCGGGGAUAACAGGCUGAUACCGCCCAAGAGUUCAUAUCGACGGCGGUGUUUGGCACCUCGAUGUCGGCUCAUCACAUCCUGGGGCUGAAGUAGGUCCCAAGGGUAUGGCUGUUCGCCAUUUAAAGUGGUACGCGAGCUGGGUUUAGAACGUCGUGAGACAGUUCGGUCCCUAUCUGCCGUGGGCGCUGGAGAACUGAGGGGGGCUGCUCCUAGUACGAGAGGACCGGAGUGGACGCAUCACUGGUGUUCGGGUUGUCAUGCCAAUGGCACUGCCCGGUAGCUAAAUGCGGAAGAGAUAAGUGCUGAAAGCAUCUAAGCACGAAACUUGCCCCGAGAUGAGUUCUCCCUGAGACUUUAGGUCUCCUGAAGGAACGUUGAAGACGACGACGUUGAUAGGCCGGGUGUGUAAGCGCAGCGAUGCGUUGAGCUAACCGGUACUAAUGAACCGUGAGGCUUAACCUUACA